GUGCGGCCUACGCGCGGCGCUUCCUUUCGGAUCUGAGGCCCAGACCCUCAAAAUAGAGGGAGCGGCAUUCACAAUGCAAGCAUCCUGUCCUUGAAGAAGUCCAGAGAAAACAUAGAUGUGAAAGCCCACAACAAGAAAGGAAUGAGGACAUAUGUCCUUGGAAUCAUGAGCUGCUGUGAAAAAAACCUAUGACCCUGAAGCCACUAUGUUGAAGAGACUUAAUGGAAAGGCCCAUUUGGACAGGAGAGGCCAUCAGUCAGCAGCAGGCAUCAACUACCUGACAUAGGAGGGUAGCUGUCUUUAGAUGAUUGCACUUCCUCAUCUUUGAGUCUUCCAUCUGAGACCGCAGAUGUUAUAAGGCAUAGACAAGCCACCUCUGUUGUAUCCUGUUGGACUUCUUAAUCCAUAAAACCUAAGAGCAAAAUAAAUGGCUGCUUUAUAUUAUACAUGUUUAUUAGUGUGAGAGCAAUCUGUUAUGUGGCCAUAGUAACUGAAGCAACAAUGAAGAAAAUAAUUUAAAACUAGCUGAUCUACUAUACAUAAUGAUUCCCAGACUCAUAUACUAAGACUCUCCAUAAGAAGUCUUCUACUGGCCAUCUGUCUCCUUAGGGUCUGGCUUUCUACCAUGUUGUAAAGACGGCUCUACUGCUCAGUUGGAAUAUCUUGAAGAGAUCUUGCCACUUCCUAUUUGAAUUCAGGCCCUCAGAAAGGAAAAACGGCAUCCUAAAGAAGAAAAAAAUUCUAGAUAUUUGAAAUAUCACCGGCAAUGAAUACUUAGCCAAUGACAGUCCAUGGAAAGUGCCUGAGUACCUUAAUAAUUCACAGCUUUUCAUGCCAUAUGGGUUCCUUGCUUAUUUUUAA